CCUACGGGCGGCAGCAGUGAGGAAUAUUGGUCAAUGGGCGGAAGCCUGAACCAGCCAAGUAGCGUGAGGGAUGAAUGUUCUAUGGAUCGUAAACCUCUUUUAUAAGGGAAUAAAGUGCGGGAUGUGUCCCGUUUUGUAUGUACCUUAUGAAUAAGGAUCGGCUAACUCCGUGCCAGCAGCCGCGGUAAUACGGAGGAUCCGAGCGUUAUCCGGAUUUAUUGGGUUUAAAGGGUGCGUAGGCGGCCUUUUAAGUCAGCGGUGAAAUUCUGUGGCUCAACCAUAGAAUUGCAGUUGAAACUGGCAUGCUUGAGUAUGUUUGAGGCAGGCGGAAUUCGUGGUGUAGCGGUGAAAU
rnacentral:rRNA from 1 species